UACGUAGGGUGCAAGCGUUAAUCGGAAUUACUGGGCGUAAAGCGUGCGCAGGCGGUUUGGUAAGACAGAUGUGAAAUCCCCGGGCUCAACCUGGGAAUUGCAUUUGUGACUGCCCGACUAGAGUGUGUCAGAGGGGGGUAGAAUUCCACGUGUAGCAGUGAAAUGCGUAGAGAUGUGGAGGAAUACCGGAUGGCGAAGGCAGCCCCCUGGGAUAACACUGACGCUCAUGCACGAA
rnacentral:rRNA from 1 species